AGAGUUUGAUCAUGGCUCAGGAUGAACGCUAGCGGCAGGCCUAAUACAUGCAAGUCGUGGGGCAGCAGGACUGUAGCAAUACAGUUGCUGGCGACCGGCAAACGGGUGCGGAACACGUACGCAACCUUCCUUUAAGUGGAGGAUAGCCCGGGGAAACCCGGAUUAAUACUCCGUAACAUUAUGAAAUGGCAUCAUUUUAUAAUUAUAGCUCCGGCGCUUAAAGAUGGGCGUGCGUCUGAUUAGGUAGUUGGCGGGGUAACAGCCCACCAAGCCUACGAUCAGUAACUGGUGUGAGAGCACGACCAGUCACACGGGCACUGAGACACGGGCCCGACUCCUACGGGAGGCAGCAGUAAGGAAUAUUGGUCAAUGGACGCAAGUCUGAACCAGCCAUGCCGCGUGGAGGAUGAAGGUCCUCUGGAUUGUAAACUUCUUUUAUUUGGGAAGAAACCCACGGUUCCUACUGUGGUUGACGGUACCAGAUGAAUAAGCACCGGCUAACUCCGUGCCAGCAGCCGCGGUAAUACGGAGGGUGCAAGCGUUAUCCGGAUUCACUGGGUUUAAAGGGUGCGUAGGCGGGCAGGUAAGUCAGUGGUGAAAUCUCCGGGCUUAACCCGGAAACUGCCGUUGAUACUAUCUGUCUUGAAUAUCGUGGAGGUGAGCGGAAUAUGUCAUGUAGCGGUGAAAUGCUUAGAUAUGACAUAGAACACCAAUUGCGAAGGCAGCUCGCUACACGGUUAUUGACGCUGAGGCACGAAAGCGUGGGGAUCAAACAGGAUUAGAUACCCUAGUAGUCC
rnacentral:rRNA from 1 species